rnacentral:misc_RNA from 1 species
CUAAAAUAGAAGGAAGGACUAAUACCAUCAGUCUAUCCAUCGUAAAAAUGAUCAAAAUGGAUGCACCCUAGCAAUGGAAAAUAUACCUUCUGCUUUCUCCUAUGGGUCUGAAGAAGUAGGCAGCAUGGAAUUCCCCAACUCCCAGCCAGUCAGUGUGGAUCCAUCGGUCCAUGGGACCCCAAACCUGAUUGCUGGUGUGCAGUACACAUCCAUGGGACCUGGAGUCCAGAGGGAUACUAUAUGCGCCACACAAGGAAAUAUGGCAUUACAGAGGGCAAAUGCAUUUGAUCUGCCCCAUUUGCAGCUUCAAUACCACCAAGCAAUGUCCAUGCCAGCUUUCCCCAACUUCCCAGGAGGAACAUUUAACCAGAUAGUUUCUCCAAGACCUCAAAUGACUCCCACCAAUCUCCCAGCAAUGGCUGGCUUUACAGAUCCAGCCCAAUUCAUUCCACAAGCAGUUCUUACACAACAGCGGUCAGGGCCCCUGCCAGAUAAGAUGGACACACUUCCAAGCUUUAGUUCAAUAGUGUCCUCAGCAGCCACCAGUCUGUCCACCAUGAACAUGCACCCACAGCUGAUGAGCAGCAACAAAGAAGCACCUCUGACUGCUGCUCACAUGUUUGCUGCUCAAAGCAAGAUGCCUGUUACCACAUCUCAUUCCUCCCAACCCUUGUCAGAUCCAGCAGAUUCUCAGGUACAACAAGUAUUCUUUACAUGUCCACAACCAAAUACUCAGCUUUCACUCAAUCAGCAGCAACGGCAGCAGAAACCUGCAGAGUUUCUGCCCCGAGGUCAAUCACCAGCUGUACAGCAUGAUAUAAGCUCCUCCACAUCUGCACAGUCGGCGGGUUCCCAGUAUCGGCCAACACAAGCUUGUUUCGAUGCAUCUCCUGAUACUGAUGCAGCGAACACUGGCUUCUUUAUCCAGUCUGAAUCUGCAGCAGGGCAAGUUCACAGUGUUCCCCCCAAACCAGCAGUCUCAUCCUUGCCAAAUAGUAGAGGGACCCUGUCCUUCACAGCUGCUGGACUGGUUCCUGUUAAUCGGUCUGCUUUUGAACAAGCAGCCAACUCGGAGCAUUCAAACGCUAGUUCUGUUCUCCAAGACACCAGUUGCAGCAAUGGCCAUGAUAGAUCACCUUUGCCAACUGAUGAUGAAACUGAUGGAGAGAAGUAUUCAGAAACAGCCAUGUUUACGGAGUCAUUGACUCCCCAUUCCUCAAAUGAUACUCAAGGUAAAAUUCAUAUAUCCAAACCCUCACUCAAACAUACCAUUAAAAAGUGUCCCUCCAGAGUCUCACGGGAGAGAGCAGCUGUUUGUAAACCUAAAUCCAUUCCUGAUACCCCUUCGCCCCAUACAGUUCGAUUCUUUUUGCUAGGCAGAUUUGGUGAUCAGUCACCAUGGGCACAUCAGACAGAAUGCAAUGUGUAUGAUACCAGUGACAAUAUUGACUUUGAUGAUUGUUUAAAUUUUGGUAACAUGACUGAGCUUCAAGAUGACAACCGCAAUACUACAGGUGAAGCCAAAGAAACAUUACAGUGUGAUGGAAGACAACAUUCUGGCUUGACUGAGGAUACGGAAGCAAGGCAGGAGACACCACCUUACAGGAACAGAGUGUCUCAGAACAAAGUUGGCAUUCCAUCAACGUCUGAAACGAUCUCUGCUAGCCAGGAAGGCAGCCUUCUCUCACCAACUGGUAGCUCUGGUUCUGAUGGCAUGCCAGAUGAAGACGCUCCCUCAGCUGAUGUGUCUGCAGGUGAAAGUGCUGACAGAGGAAAACCACAGGAGUCCGAGACUGAUGAGGAGGAUAAUGGCCCUGUGUUUCCGGGGAUGGAGAAGUGUUCAUCAGGUGCCAUCAAUCCAAGAGCGUUCUUUCAGGUUCAGCCCGACCUUGAAGACAUUCCAUACUUCGAUUAUGUUGACAAGGAAGCAGAAAUGAAGCGUAAAAUGUGGCAAGCCAAGAAAGAGCAACUUGAAAUGGAAAGGAUGGAUGUGCAUGUGAAGAUUGACGACUCCCAGUGUAUCACUGUUGGUGAUCAAAAACGGUGGCAGUGUCACAAAUGUCCCAAGAACUAUACGACCAAACAUAAUCUUGUUACUCAUAUCCUUGAUCACAGGGGUAUUAAACCCCAUCUGUGCAUGGUGUGUGGCAAAUAUUUCAAACAGCUGAGCCACCUCAAUACUCACAUGUUGACUCAUGACAACAUCAAACCUCACGUGUGCUCACUCUGUGGCAAGGGCUUCACCCAGGUGAGCCAUCUGAAGAGACAUCAAGCUGUCCACUUGGACAACAAACCCUACAUCUGUGAUAUCUGCAAUCGCGGCUUCGCUUACCCCAGUGAGCUGCGGGUCCAUAAGGAGAAGCACAUCCCGGGGAGGGACAAGUGUGUGGACUGUGGGGAGGACUUCUCCAGCCCCAAGCUGCUCAAGCAGCACCAGGCCACCCACGAGCAGAGGGAAGAACUCACUUGUUCACAGUGCAAUCGGAUGUUUCGCUAUCCUAGUCAGCUGAGGGACCACAUGGUUACUCAUUCCGGGACACGCCCCUACAUCUGCACCGAGUGUGGCAUGGACUUCAUGAAGGACCACCACCUCAAGGCCCACAUGUUCACACACACGGGGCUGCGGCCCUACAGCUGCCAGGAGUGUGGGCGAGCCUUCAACCAGAAGGCCAACCUCCAGCGCCACAUGCUGAUCCACAGCUCGGAGCGGGCCUACAAGUGUGAGCAGUGCGACAAGACCUUCACCCAGCCACAGACUCUCAAGGCACACAUGGUGGUACAUGCUGAAAAGAAACCCUUCUGGUGCAGUAUUUGUGGUAAGGAGUUCGGCCGCCUGCACAACCUCCAAGGUCACAUGCACAUGCAUAACAACUCCAAGCCCUAUGUGUGUUUCUGUGGGAGCUCAUUCACACUCAAAGGAAACUUGAAUCGCCACAAGAAGGUGAAGCAUGGCCUCAACGAGAGCACGGAAAGCAUGGAGGAGGAAGCUGUGAACUUCCUCAGCCUCAUGUCCGAGCGAGUCAGGGAGGAACGAACACAGGACGACGAGGAUGCAGAGCAACAGGAUGCACAAGAAAUGUUGGACAGCCCACCUCUUGACCAAUCAGGUGACCUCAAAUCUCACAGGAGAGAGAGGAAGUCAACUCCAAGGAAGAUUCCAAGACAGAGGAAGUCCAUGGACAAUGAUGAUAGUUCCUCUAGAGAUCAGUGUGAUGAUGAAGAGGAACUGUCACAGUACUUCAGGCCACUGAGUGGCAUCAACAGUCAGACUAGACCCUCCAGACGCAGUCUCAAGAGAGAGUUUUCAUCGGAUGAGGAAGAUGACACAAGGGCACUUAAAAAACGAAGAGGUCACAGAUCAGUUCAAGUUGAAGAGGUCAAGGUCAAAGAAGAAGUUGCGGAGGAGUCUCUCAGUGAUGGUGAGGUGCGAGAAGAAGGUGAUGAUGAUGAUUGGAGUCCCAGCCAGAAACGGCCACGUUUACAGCGUGGUGCAAAACUUGACUCUAUCAUAGCAAAGAAAUUUCAAAGUGCAUAAUUUAUUUAUGUCUGAGUGCAGUGGUAUAUCUUCAUGGUUAUUCAGUUUUCUCUUUAAUUGUACAUUUGACACUGAAAUAGCCAAGGUUAUGAUAAGACUCUGAAUGUUCAUUGGAAUUAUCAAGUACAAGGAGAACUAAAUAUUGACGUGGUGUCCAUGACAUGGAUUAGCCCAUAUUCUAACAUCCAUGAUCAUCCCCUGUAUCUCCAUUCUGUGAUGAUGUAUACUCUGAAUCCUUUCAUCACUUUAGCUUUGUUUGACACCGGUCUGAAAGAAAUUAACAUCCAAUUAUAUUACCCUUUUCUUUCAUGAUUGACAAAAGCAGCAUUACCAUCAGGACUUUAACUUGAUCUUUGUGUGCCAUUGCAAACACAGCCAGGAUAUCUUGUGAUUUAUUUAAGUACAUUGAGGGCUCGUUCAGAUGGCUUGCUCAGUUUUGAAUCUAGAUCUCUGCUGAACACAUGUUCAGAAGAGGCAUUUUAAUUGGUUGUUGAUUUCAAGCUCAUGAUCGAGAGAAUUCUGUGUGAAGUGAAGAGUGAUGAGAAAGAUGGUGCUGGCAACGUCACUUCUAAAACGAAGCUGAGUUGGUGAAUGCAUCCAGGUAUAUAUCGUCAUCGAAUGGAGAUGCGAUACUCUGGAUAAUGAAGGAUAAUAAUUUAAACUAUACAAAGCACAGCCACUAGUAGUUUAAUUCACCAUUUCAAAAUGUAGACAAUCCAGAUUUAUGCUGUCAGCAAGGACAUGUUCAGAAUUUGAAACUUUACACACAGAAAUCCAGUGAGAAUUUGGUGUACAACAUGUUAAUGGGCUUUGAUGAUACACUUUGUUGCCAUAUGACUGUAAGGUCACCAUACAAUACAUGAUAUGAUUCAUCAAACCUCAAUACCAUCUUCCCGAGCAAGGGAGUCAACUGACUUUAAAAGUGCAGGCUCGAUCGUAGCACCACCAGUGGCUAUUAAGAGUUAUGUCCCUGCUGUGUCCCUCGUACUGAUCAAUCAGAUUCAACCACUCGUAACACUUGCAAUUGGUUCAAACAAAAUGGCGGCGCCAAUACAAGACGAUCUGAUCGAUAAUUAAAGUCUAAUUUGUGAUAAAACGGGUCUAACUUCGCAAAGUGCAUCAAAUCACGUGAGCACCUUGAUUUAAAACAUGAAAAGAUUUGGAAAAUAUCUGUUGACACCGUGUUGGUGGUACACAAUCCUGCAAUUAGAUAAAAUCUGCACAGCAGUUUACAUAUUGGAUGUCCAUUCUGUUACACGAUUUUGAUUGGAAUAUGCUCGUUGUCCAGCCAAAAAAUAACUCCAUAAUUCCAGCCUAUAGUCAGUUAACUCGCUUGCCUCUGGGAGAUGCCUCAACACUUGCCAUUUGUCAUAUUCAGCCCUCAAGAAAAAUGACUGAUGGCCUGACUAAAACAUAUUUGAUAAAUCUGUCAGUCAAGUCAGUUCAAAACUUGGGAACUUGUACACAUUCCAUCAGAAAAUAGUAUUUUAUAAUUCACUUUCAUACAAGUCAACAUGUCACAUACACAUGUACCAUUUGGUAUUGAUACACAACCUCGGGAUACUUGCAAAACUUGUCAGGUAUCACGAUACUUGCAAUACUUGUCAGGUAUCACAGUACUUGUCAGGUAUCACAAUACUUGCAAUACAUGUCAGGUAUCACAAUACUUGCAAUACUUGUCAGGUAUCACGAUACUUGCAAUACUGUUAGGUAUCACAAUACUUGUCAGGUAUCACAAUACUUGCAAUACUUGUCAGGUAUCACGAUAUUUGCAAUACUGUUAGGUAUCACAAUACUUGUCAGGUAUCACAAUACUUGUCAGGUAUCAAAAUACUUGUCAGAUAUCACAAUACUUGCAAUACUUGUCAGGUAUCACGAUACUUGCAAUACUUGUCAGGUAUCACAAUACUUGCAAUACUUGUCAAGUAUCACAAUACUUGCAAUACUGUUAGGUACACUGAAUCUUUAAAGCCCAAACAUGUUGUACAUGCUUUAACUGGCUUCACUAAAAAGUACUCACAAUUUAAGAUUCCACAGUGUAUCAAGGAAAAGCAUUUUGGUCAUACAUCAUUUUGGAAUUACGGUAUUUUGUCAGUGGAAAACAAAUAUUGAAGAGUUUUAAGGUUUUGUCAAAUGUACCUUGUAAUAUCUUACUGUAAUUCUGAUGAAAUCCUACAAUGUCUGUAUAUUGUUUUGUUCAUAUUGAAAAUAUGUUCAACUUGAAAUGUGAAUAUUUUUAUACUUCAAAGCAAUUUGAUCACUGUGUUAUUUAAGACAAGGUGUUAUAUUAUUAUUGCUAUGUGCCAUGCUAGACAAUAACAAAAGACUGGAGAGGUGAAGGAUUGACUGUCGGUCUUGUAUUAAGUUUUACAUUUUAAAAAUCUCCUGUGAAACCUGUAGAACUAUUAUGUCUGAUAUAUAUUCCUAUAGCCUGCUCAUCAUUGGUGUCAUGCCAUGGCUGGAACGAGUCCAAAUUCACUACCCGGGUACCCACCCCACUAUUACCCGACCCUACCUAGGUACCCACUGUAGGUCUCAGGAGAUGUCUCUAAAUGUCCGAUUGGGAACCCUGGCAAAACGUAGUUAGAUACAUGUAUUAAA